rnacentral:rRNA from 1 species
UACGAAGGGGGCUAGCGUUGCUCGGAAUUACUGGGCGUAAAGGGAGCGUAGGCGGAUAGUUUAGUCAGAGGUGAAAGCCCAGGGCUCAACCUUGGAACUGCCUUUGAUACUGGCUAUCUUGAGUACGGGAGAGGUGAGUGGAACUCCGAGUGUAGAGGUGAAAUUCGUAGAUAUUCGGAAGAACACCAGUGGCGAAGGCGACUCACUGGCCCGUUACUGACGCUGAGGCUCGAAAGCGUGGGGAGCAAACAGG